AUACUCUGGUUUCUCUUCAAAUCAAAUAAAUCUUAAUCCUUUUUCUAAAAGAUUUCCGUGGAGAGGAACAUCCAUGAGUUUUCAAUAAUUUUUUGAGACUCUGCCCCAUGCUGGGCU